rfam:Chloroflexi bacterium RBG_13_48_10 RBG_13_scaffold_12576, whole genome shotgun sequence.
GCCGAAGUGGCGGAAUUGGCAGACGCGCUAGGUUCAGGGCUUAGUGGGCAUUACGCUCGUGUGGGUUCAAGUCCCACCUUCGGCA